rnacentral:rRNA from 1 species
AACGAACGCUGGCGGCAUGCCUAACACAUGCAAGUCGAACGAUGCCUUCGGGCAUAGUGGCGCACGGGUGCUUAACGCGUGGGAAUCUGCCUUUCGGUUCGGAAUAACUCAGGGAAACUUGAGCUAAUACCGGAUAACGUCGCAAGACCAAAGAUUUAUCACCGAAAGAUGAGCCCGCGUAGGAUUAGCUAGUUGGUGAGGUAAAGGCUCACCAAGGCGACGAUCCUUAGCUGGUCUGAGAGGAUGAUCAGCCACACUGGGACUGAGACACGGCCCAGACUCCUACGGGAGGCAGCAGUGGGGAAUAUUGGACAAUGGGCGAAAGCCUGAUCCAGCAAUGCCGCGUGAGUGAUGAAGGCCUUAGGGUUGUAAAGCUCUUUUACCCGGGAAGAUAAUGACGGUACCGGGAGAAUAAGCCCCGGCUAACUCCGUG